GUUUUACACUUGAUCUCUGAACUUCAGGUAAGUUGUGUUGACAAGUUCUUGAACUGAUGCU
rfam:Lupinus angustifolius cultivar Tanjil contig_19997, whole genome shotgun sequence.